UCCGGUAUGGUGUAACGGCUAACAUUGCCGCCUUUCAUCUCUAGCGAAGUCCGCGGCAGCUCGGGGUUCGAUUCCCCGUACCGGAA